rnacentral:rRNA from 1 species
GAUGAACGCUGGCGGCGUGCCUAAUACAUGCAAGUCGAGCGAACAGACGAGGAGCUUGCUCCUCUGUCGUUAGCCGCGGACGGGUGAGUAACACGUGGAUAACCUACCUAUAAGACUGGGAUAACUUCGGGAAACCGGAGCUAAUACCGUAUGAUAUAUUGAACCGCAUGGUUCAAUAGUGAAAGACGGUUUUGCUGUCACUUAUAGAUGGAUCCGCGCCGCAUUAGAUAGUUGGUAAGGUAACGGGUUACCAAGGCAACGAUGCGUAGCCGACCUGAGAGGGUGAUAGGCCACACUGGAACUGAGACACGGUCCAUACUACUACGGGAGGCAGCAGUAGGGAAUGUUACGCAGUAGGCGAAAGCCUGACGGAGCGACGCCGCGUGUGAGAUGAAGGCCUUCGGAUCGGAAAACUCUGUUAUUAGGGAAGAACAAAUGUGUAAGUAAAUAUGCACGUCUUGACGGUACCUAGUCAGAAAGCCACGGCUAACUACGUG